rfam:Triticum urartu cultivar G1812 contig141324, whole genome shotgun sequence.
CUACUACUCCCUCCGUCUGAAAAUAAUUGUCAUCAAAAUGAAUAAAGAGAGAUGUAUCUUGAACUAAAAUACGUCUAGAUACAUCAUCUUUUAUCCAUUUUGAUGAUAAGUAUUUUCGGCCGGAGGGAGUAUUAA